GACGAACGCUGGCGGCGUGCUUAACACAUGCAAGUCGAACGGAAAGGCCCUGAUUUUGCGGGGUGCUCGAGAGGCGAACGGGUGAGUAAAACGUGAGUAAACUGCACUUGACUUUGGGAUAACUUCAGGAAACUGGGGCUAAUACCGGAUAGGAGAUCCUGAUGCACGGUGGGGGUUGGAAAGAUACGGCGGUUGGGGAUGGACUCGCGGCUUAUCAGCUUGUUGGUGGGGUAGUGGCUUACAAAGGCUUUGAAGGGUAGCCGGCAUUAGAGGGUGACCGGCGACAUUGGUACUGAGAUACGGCCCAGACUCCUACGGGAGGCAGCAGUGGGGAAUAUUGCACAAUGGGCGGAAGCCUGAUGCAGCAACGCCGCGUGCGGGAUGACGUCCUUCGGGUUGUAAACCUCUUUCGCCUGUGACGAAGCGUGAGUGACGGUAAUGAGUAAAGAAGCACCGGCUAACUACGUG
rnacentral:rRNA from 1 species